AUACCUUAUAUGUCAUGGGAGAAGAAUUGCCUAAUGGACUUCAAGUGUUACCUUAUAAGAAGUUCUUAAGUCCAAGUCAAAACCAAAUUAGACCAACUCAUGCUCUAAAAUUUCUAGCUGAUGCUUGAAAUUUUUUUUUUUAUGAAACUCCCAUCAAUUUUCAGCAUCCUCAUCUACUUCCACCAGAGCCUUGCGGCAACACUGGUCUCUGUAUCUCUUCUCGUACAUCC
rnacentral:lncRNA from 1 species